GUUUGAUAAUCAAAUUUCGAUAAAUAAAAUAUUAUCUUUUUGGUACACAGAAAUUAUAAUAAUGCUACUUGCUAUACUUAAUUGGGAAAUAAAUAGCUGGUCCUGUGAGCUCAACACGUUUCCACACCAAUGGCUGCACUUUCUCUCUCCUCUCUCUCUCUACCAUUUACAGCUCCACUUCCUCCUCAUUCUCCAUUACUGCACCGCCGAACUCGAAUAUUUGCUCAUUCUUCCACUAUUCAACCUGCUUCUUCUUCGUCUUCUGUUUUGACUUCAAGCCCUAAAGUUGUAGUGACCAGAGAGCGUGGUAAAAAUGGAAAGCUCAUCAAUGCCCUGGCUAAACAUGGAAUUAGCUGUUUGGAGCUUCCCCUCAUUCAGCAUACAAAGGGACCUGAUCUGGAUAGGCUUUCUGCUGUACUAAGUGCAGAUACAACCUUCGAUUGGAUUGUCAUAACAUCUCCCGAAGCUGGUUCAGUCUUUUUAGAUGUAUGGAAGGCUUCUGGAACCCCAAAUGUGAAAAUAGCGGUUGUUGGGGCUGGUACAGCAAGCAUUUUUAACGAAGUACUGCAAUCAUCAAAACAAUCUCUCAAUGUUUCAUUCAUGCCUUCAAAAGCAACAGGGAAGGUAUUGGCUUCGGAGCUUCCCAAAAAUAGCAACACAAAGUGCACCGUUUUAUACCCUGCAUCAGUAAAGGCCAGCCAUGAGAUAGAGGCAGGUCUUUCUAAUCGUGGAUUUGUAGUCACGAGGCUAAAUACAUAUUCAACGGCACCUGUUCAUGAUGUUGACCAAAUGGUUUUAGAGGAGGCACUGUCAGCCCCUGUUGUCACAGUAGCUUCACCUUCUGCCAUUCGUGCCUGGGUCAAUCUCAUUCCAAAACCUGAUAAAUGGAGCAAUUCAGUUGCAUGUAUUGGUGAGACAACUGCUUCAGCUGCAAAAAAUUUAGGCUUGAGAAAUGUGUUCUAUCCAACACAUCCAGGUCUUGAAGGAUGGGUGGAUAAAAUCUUAGAGGCAUUGAGAAUGAAUCAUCACUAGAGGAAUGACAACCAGUUAAGCUUUCUCACAGGUGUAGGCAGGCUAACAAGGGGUAAGAGGACACCACUGCAAAUGUGCUAAGAUUUCAAUUUUCUGUUCAAAGAAGUUGCAGUAGGGUUUAACCGCAUGCUAGCAGCAGAAUCAGAAAGGUGCUGAAUUUUAUAUUGCACUGAAGAGAUCGAAUCUAGAAAAGCAUGUCUUCUUUAUAUAAAAUCAUUAAGAGGUCAUCUGGGUGAUGUUGUGGAUAAAAUACCAUUCUUUGUACCUGAGUUCCAGUAGUUCAUUCAUUUUUCAAAGCCAGUUUCUGAAACACCCAUUACUUCUAUGAUUUCCAUUAGUUGAUAAUAAUAAGGAUUUUGUAAAAAUACUACCACUGAGUAAUACUCUCACAAUGAGAGAAUAAUUAUGUCUGUUAUUGGAGAGAUUGGUUUUCUCAGGAGGGAGGCGGAGGCUUCCCAUCAAGGAAAGAUGAGAUCAUGGUCAGUGCUCGUUUUGGUUGAUAGCUCGGAACCAUAUGGCCAGCCCCUCUUACCGUGGUAAGUGUUAAUCCUUUGUACUCAACUACAUAACCUCCAACCUAUUCACAAGAUGUGGAGAAGUGGUGUUUUGAGAUCUAGUUUUUGGCUUUAUUGAAAUGCUAAUAGCAAAAUGAAAAAGAAUUUUAGUUAGAAGUGACUCCAUCACUAUGGAUCAAUUGUUAUUACCUCAUUUCUAGAAUACCAGGGGCGCCAAGCUUUCACAACAGGCAAGUUUAAAAUGUUUAUGGAGUAUCUAGAGGAUGCCACUGGUACUCGGCCAUCAGUGUCCCCACACUGCAGAUUAUUUAUUAUAUAAUACAAUGUACAUUUGGUAACUUAUGUCGUGCUAAACUUGAAAACAUAAUACCAGUUGCAAUUAUAUAAUAUUUACAUGUUUAAAUGAGCUGAAAAGAGCAAUGCUGAAAUAAGACUCAACUGUAUACCCAGAUACUUAUUCCACUUGUUGUAAGCUGCUCUAUUACUGGUAGAAUGGUGGCCGGACUGUCUGUCCAAGAAACGCCGCUACACAUAAAAUAAACAGAAAGUAAUACAUUUAAGCUCUCUGAAAUUUCUAGCUGUUUACCCG